GCCACCUAACAUUGUCUCGGAGCUACAGUCCUUGGGGUAACAGCCCCAGAGCACUCUCAGGGGGAGCUUGCUCAAAUGGUGUGUCUGUUUCAGUAGGUCUGGGUGGGGGCCCAAGAGGCCCGAGAAUCUGCAUUUCUAACCGUCUCCAAGGGACGCCGAUCUGAGAACCACGGUUGCGUGACGAGGCCCUAGCAGACAGGGAUGGAUGGCGUCUACCUGAAGCGCACUGAAGAGCCCCUCCCUGAAACCUGGCUCCGCCCUUCCUCACGUCUCGGAGCAUCUAAGGGUCCAGGCUGAUCUCGUGGCUUGCUUUGGACAAGAGAAUGUAGCAGAAGGGACCGCGUGCACAUUCUAAGCUUCUGCCUGUCUUCCUGGAACUCUGCUGUAGACCAUCAUCGUGAGAAAAAUCCUCAGUUAGCCUGUGAGAGGCUGAGAAACCAUGUGCGGGGGAGGAGGCGUGAGGACCACCCAACCCAGACAUCAGCGCUAAACUUGCACGGACCAGGCGGCCCCGGGUUGACCAGUCAGCUGAGCACAAUCGCUUGGAGGAGCCCAGCCGAGACCAGGACUUGUUGCUUUAAUGUCGAUUAAAGAUAAAGCUUCUGCUUCCUGGUCACCGCCUCUACCUUCCUUGACAGCCAGCAGGCAUUUGCUGUCCCAUCUAAACAAAGAAUGUGCGCAGAGUCCGGGUCGGACAGACUCAGAGUCAGGCUCGUCCCGCAGCCGUGGGGACGCCCUGGGUACUGUCUCUGGUGUCAGAGGUCAUCUAAAGUCCUGGCCGGGUCAUUUGAGUAACAAUGAAGAAAUAAUGAAGGGUAGCAGCCCUGACCCUCGGACCCGCCUUGCCGGAGACCCCAUCGCUGAGUGCCCCUUCGCCAAGCGUUUGCACACCCUGAGAGGCGGAGCCUGGGGAAGGAAAAGCAUCCGAAGAAGUAGGGGCCCGUGGCCCUGGAGGUCACCUUGUCCUUAACUUGUGAAACACCGUCGGCAGCCCGUCAGGAGGGGUUGACAGAUGACUCGUCUGUGUCCCUGCCAUUGUUGCUUCCUGUUAUUGUUUUUCUCCCCACAUUUUAGUUAAUCAUUUGCUGGAGGUAGGCUCCACACUCCUGUGCUUCAGUAGGCCUUUUCCUUCCGAGUCAUGGGGCCCAAACCCUUGGUGAAAAUGGAGGUGUGUGUGUGGGUGGGAGUCUCUGUUCGUGAUAUAAAACCCCCUCCUUUGUCGGGGGGCCACGUGCAGGGGUGCAGAAUGAAUGGAUCCAGUUUGUAAAACAAAGUCAUAAAUACCCAAGGUUGGGGGACAGGAGGUGCCACUCUUCCCACAAGCAAAUUCACCCUGAAGGCUCUAUCCCUGCCCAAAAAUUGCUCCGAAAUUUAAAAUAGUUCCACAUGAGCCAUUGACCGGAACCCGCCUCAUUACAUAACGAGAGAGGACAGAACCCGGGAUUUAAGGAUAAACACCAGCAGGGCAGACUCCGGCCUCCACCAGGAUUUCAGAAAGCCAAAUCUGCUUACAGAGUACCUUCUAACCCAACGUCUCUGAGCAGAAGGCCACUCCUACGAUCUGCAGACUUGAAGGGGGUAGCUUAAUAAAACUCUUCUAUUUCUUAGCCGGGGCAAGGCACCAUCAAACAGCAAGAGGUCUUCAGCUAGUCAUGCUUGCUUUGCUUUCCCCCUGCCCCCCUUAAAAUUCCUCCUUCUUUGCUUUACAGCAAACAGGAGGCACUCCGGAUCUGACAUGCUCUGUCUGGAUCGGGAAGCCUUCUUGCUACUCUGUGUAUCCAAAGCCUCUUUGUCCCCAAACACAGAAAGAGGUGCGUCGCACCACCACCGACAGCAUGUUCCUGACCAGGCUCCAGCUGAAACUUCAGACCAGACUGGAGUCUUCCAAAGCCAGGCCGAGCCUAGGCUGGGCUCUGCUUGCAGAAACGACUAAUGACUUGCUGGUCACCACCCAAGAAAGAGAAGCCUGCAGACACUUGGAGCAGGGCUUUGGGAAUCAAAAGGAAGUUUCUUCUCUCAGCUCAUCUCUUCACCAUCUGGCUAGCUUUUACAAUCCUCAUUGCGCCGUGAUGAAUUUUUUUAUGCCACAGCUUUCUGCUAAUUAAUUGUAAUUACCAAGCACAGGAAAUUUCAGCGUGAUCAGAUCAUGUUUACGCAGAAUGGCAAAGCCGGCGAACUGUUCUUUAAGAGACUUUCUUGGGAACAUCGACAUUUAAAAGCUGGGUGGGACCUCUGAAACCCGCUGGCUCGCACCGCUCGCUAAUAGAUGAGGACAUCUGUGUGAACCAGCCCAGGUCUGGCAGCUAGUGAGGGGCAGAGAAAGGGCAAAAACACCAGCUUCCACAUUCCUGGGGCCGUGAUGUUUGCAGUACACACCGCUGCCUCUAGAACCGGUUCAAACCAGAAGCAGCCACUCCUCUCGGUUUGGGCCGUUUCAUCAAAUCCAGGAUGGAAUCUGGUCAAAAUGUCUCAUUGCAUCAUCACCUUGCUUUGAAACUCUGAGUUCUUUGGACAUAGAGUUCUUGUCUAUGUGCUGUGAACCAAUAAAUUCUCUGGAAAAA